CGGACGCCAUGACAGCCAUUUCAACAAAACCUCAUCAGCCAGACUGAUUCUCGUGUUAUUAUUCUGGAGUUAAAACUGUGCCAAAUGUCAAGAUGAGGACGUUCAGCCACACAGCUCUAGACAGGAUUUACUCUCUGAUCCUGUUGGCUAUAGUUAUCCUGUCUUGGUCCUACGUGAUCUACAGCAGCAGGAUAGCAGCUCAGCGGCUCCUGGAGCAGGAGACCCGCCCCUCGCUGGAUGAUUGACAGUUCAGCCCACCAGUGCACUCACUGUGUUAUUGACGGCUCAACGACUUUACUUCUACACGCGGGACUUUUAAAUAGGGCGGCCCCAUCUGGACUCCAUUAAAAGUCUUCCGACAACAUUUUAUUUCAUGUUGGGCAUUCAAUAUGGCGGACGAUGCACACUAGCGAUGGGACAUUCGACUCUUUUGACUGACUCAAGUUUGUAGGAGUCACUACAGGCAGUCGGGGUUUCGGGUUACUGGAGUCACUCGCCCAGCGCCUGGGACCCCCCCCCCCAGCGCCUAUAGCGCAUGCGCGCCAGCAUUAGCCAGCUUGGCUACCGGUGUCGACCCGUGUUGUGGUGACAACAUUCACAACAAUGUAAAACGUGGAUUUUCCCCAAGUCGCAGCUUUGGUGUGAAAGGGGAAUGAGAUGGCGUCUUGUUUCUGGGAGUUUAUCUGUUGGUUCUCAGAUUCACUCGACAGUAAUACGACAGUAGAAUACCAAUGAUUAAUCUUAACCUCCAUGAUGGUUCACGGUUGCGGCGGCCUCACCCAGUACCGUCCUUGCAGCGUCUUUGUCCACGUCUGCAUCUAAGUUUGUCUUCGUUUGAUGCUGGGAGAGCUGGAGCUGGAUCGGCUGGGGGAGCUUGGUCUGCUUCGUCCUGUGGGCCUAAGGACCACGGCCCUGACCGGAGCUGUGCCUGAAGAGGUAACACCGAGGGCGGUCCGACAGGGCGCGGAAGCGGGGCAGGCUAAGCUAACUGCUAGCCCAUGCAGACCGGCAGUUCUGAUAACACCGAGGGCGGUCUGGCGGCGGCCUCGCCUGGCCUUGACUGUGUUUUUAGUGUCAUCGUGUGGAGUGCAGGGAGGUGUGUUGAAGGUGUCUGUCUGGGAGAGCUUGGUCUGCUUCGUCCUGUGGGCCUAAGGACCACGGCCCUGACCGGAGCUGUGCCUGAAGAGGUAACACCGAGGGCGGCCUGACAGGGCGCGGAAGCGGGGCAGGCUAAGCUAACGGCUAGCCCAUGCAGACCAGCAGUUCCGACAGUCAUCCUGGCUGGCGUUCGUUCUCCUGGACAGUGAUUUUUUUGUUUUUUGUUUAGAUAUAGUAUGUGUUAGUUUGGAUAUGUGUGUUCUUGUAGCUCUUGUAGUUUUUGGAUGUGUUUUUGUGUUUGUGUUGCACUGCUGUGGGAAAUGGUGUUUCGUUUCAUUUCAUGUGCGCAAGUGUAUGAAAUGAAACGACAAAUAAAGGGUUCCUGAUUCGGAAGAUGUGCAGCUGUUCACAGCAUUUGUGUGUCAGAGAGAAAGAGGACAGCUAGCCUUGAUUGAGUUUCAAUAGAAGUAGAACAGCAGGAGCAAUGCAUUUAUGUCUCUCUCCCUCUAUUUCUAGCUUUCUUUUUCUCUCUCUUUCUCUUCAGGCAUCUUUGGUAUUGUCCUGCAGGAUAGGGCUGUUCUCUGAAUCGCUCCCCGAGAGACUUCACACAGCGACCGGUCUGAAACCAACAACCAACCCCCAGUGACCUUAAACCAGCCGACAAGUGAAAGAGAAAUAAAAGAAAUGGAGGCCGGUGGGAGUUGUUCCUGUGCUGGCAGAUGAGUGUUGAUCUCCUCAGCAAAGAGACUGUUUUUCAUUAAACUACAACCAGUCCUGUAAGACGUUGGAGACACCAUGACAGAAAGACUAAUGACCGGCUAGUUAUUACAACUUUAUUCCUCCAGAGGACGCUCUUUACUUAAAUUAUGGCGUCUUCAUUAUUCCCGUAGAUGAACAUCCGGAUCAUCUGUCGGGCACGUUUUCUUCACCACAGUGACAAACUGAAGAAUAAAAACUAGAAAACAAUAAAGACCAUUCCCUAGUUUCCUGGUGAGUCCCUGUAGAAACCCACAUGGUAUGGCUCGCAGUGCAUGAUGGGAAUCGGCAGGUUCAACAGAUGGUUUGUCUUAAUCUACGGGUUGUAUUAGUCCUUCAUAGGUUAGAAAUUAGAAAACAGGUUUGAAAUUUCGUUUGCAGAACAGAAGAAAGUGGAUUACCGGGAGAGGAAUCUUCAACAUGUCUCGGCUGUGGACGCUCCACAUCUGCUACAGUCAAGACUUCCGGUGGAAAUCAGCAUUUUCCAUCCAUCCGGGUGCUUCAGGGCAUUUUAGGACGGAUUGGUGUGAUUACAAAUAAAAUGUUAGAUUACAGAUGCUUUUGUUUUUAGAUCUUGUCCAAAAUGUUUGCUAAUUGCUUUUCUAAAUUUGUCCAAUUUGAGACAUCUUUACAUGACGAAUUUUAAUAUAAACGAGGCUUUGAACUUG